rnacentral:rRNA from 1 species
UACGUAGGGUGCGAGCGUUGUCCGGAAUUACUGGGCGUAAAGAGCUCGUAGGUGGUUUUGUCGCGUUUGUCCGUGAAAAACUCACAACUCAAUUUGUGGGCGUGCGGGCGAUACGGGCAGACUGGAGUACUGCAGGGGAGACUGGAAUUCCUGGUGUAGCGGUGGAAUGCGCAGAUAUCAGGAGGAACACCGGUGGCGAAGGCGGGGUCUCUGGGGCAGUAACCGACGCUGAGGAGCGAAAAGCGUGGGGGAGCGAACAGG